rnacentral:rRNA from 1 species
CCUACGGGUGGCAGCAGUGGGGGAUAUUGCACAAUGGGGGGAACCCUGAUGCAGCGACGCCGCGUGGGUGAAGGAGUGCUUCGGCAUGUAAAGCCCUAUCGGCAGGGAAGAAGCAAGACGGUACCUGACUAAGAAGCCCCGGCUAACUACGUGCCAGCAGCCGCGGUAAUACGUAGGGGGCGAGCGUUAUCCGGAUUCACUGGGUGUAAAGGGAGCGUAGACGGCCAAGCAAGCCAGGGGUGAAAGCCCGGGGCCCAACCCCGGGACUGCCCUUGGAACUGCAUGGCUGGAGUGCGGGAGGGGCAGGCGGAAUUCCUGGUGUAGCGGUGAAAUGCGUAGAUAUCAGGAGGAACAUCAGUGGCGAAGGCGACUAUCUGGCACAUAACUGACGCUGAGGAGCGAAAGCGUGGGUAGCAAACAGGAUUAGAUACCCUUGUAGUC